ensembl:lncRNA
UGGAGUUCUUGUGCUCAUCUUACCGUGACCCUCGGCCUAUCACAUGUGAGCAUCCAUGACCCUCGGCCUAUCACAUGCAGGUUCCACAAUGCCCAAGACGAAGACAGUCAUCAGACACAGAGGCUACAUCCCAAAUGGCACCCUAAAUCCCUGGAUUAGUGAACUACUUUUGACCAGCCCGGGAGUUACAUUAUAUAGGGAUUAGCAUGUUAUUAGAGACUCCUCCAGAGAUGGUCAUCAGUCAGUCUGCUUCUGAAGACGAACGGGCCCGUGCACAACGUCAUACACCCCUUGAUACCUAACUCACCUAGCUUCAAACCAAGGCCUUUUUUUCUUUUUUUUGGACUAAACUAUUGUUAAUGUAAAUAUCUAUAUAUAAUUUCAGAAGAAUGCUUAUUUUGUGUCAUAUUUUUUUUUUAUAAAGGUGAAUAUUGAGCAAUACUAUUUGAACUUCUGGGAACUUUGUUGCAAUCUGCUGGAUUGGCAUUGCUAACUAUUUUAGGGAUUGAAUAUUAUUUUCAAGGUUUGUAACACAUGAUUCAUUUACAUGAACAUGAAUGAAAAAAAAACAGCCUCUUAUUUAAGACAAAUUUUAUACCUUUGAGAGAAAAAAUGUGUAAAUUUAUUGCAUCAUUGUUAGAGUAAAUAAAUCAUUAUAUUCA